UACGUAGGGUGCGAGCGUUAAUCGGAAUUACUGGGCGUAAAGCGUGCGUAGGUGGUUGUUUAAGUCUGUUGUGAAAGCCCUGGGCUCAACCUGGGAAUUGCAGUGGAUACUGGGCGACUAGAGUGUGGUAGAGGGUAGUGGAAUUCCCGGUGUAGCAGUGAAAUGCGUAGAGAUCGGGAGGAACAUCCAUGGCGAAGGCAGCUACCUGGACCAACACUGACACUGAGGCACGAAAGCGUGGGGAGCAAACAGG
rnacentral:rRNA from 1 species